rnacentral:rRNA from 1 species
UACGUAGGGUGCAAGCGUUAAUCGGAAUUACUGGGCGUAAAGCGUGCGCAGGCGGUUUUGUAAGUCUGUCGUGAAAUCCCCGGGCUUAACCUGGGAAUGGCGAUGGAGACUGCAAGGCUAGAGUUUGGCAGAGGGGGGGUAGAAUUCCACGUGUAGCAGUGAAAUGCGUAGAGAUGUGGAGGAACACCGAUGGCGAAGGCAGCCCCCCUGGGUCAAGAUUGACGCUCAUGCACGAAAGCGUGGGGAGCAAACAGG